GGCGUUUCAGAGAGUGGUUUGGCAAACCACUCUCUGAAGUGCCUCCCUGCUCCAAUAAGUGCAGCUGCAGUAAGGUUUAAUGGAGCGGGUGAGCCACUUCAGAACGCUGAAGAACCUCCCCUCCUUGAAAAGGGGUGAGGCUUGGGGCAAUCUGUGAAGGGAAAGGUGAGCAAGUGGAUGAGGUGUAAAGGUGGGCUUGCCUAAGAGGAAGAUUGGUGGAUAGGUGCAGUUGGCUAGUGGAGUGAGCCUUUUGUGAGAGUAUAUAACUGGUAAGCAUGCCAUACAUACAUACAUACAUACAUACACACAUACACACACACACACACACACACACACACACACUGGUUUUAUAGAAUACAUUUAGAUGAAUGUGUGUGAGCACAAGUAGAAUACCACCAAGUUAAGAUGCUUCUUCUUUGGGGACAGAAAGCACUGGAAACUUGUGACAUUUCAUAUACACUCAGUGAGCAUGAGAAACAUGUGCAUUUCUACAAGGCAGCGGAUCUGGUAACCAAUAUCAGAUCACCAGAGAGAUUCUGCACCCACAAGGCAGCUUUCAUCCCACAGCUCUCUGCUCCCUGCUCCUGUCACUGCUUUGCCCCCAAUCUGCUUCUUGGAUUCCUUUACAAACAUACAUCAAACACACAUCUUCUCCAAACUCUGACAACUCUUGUGUUUCAAACAUUCCAGAGAUCUCUCUGUCUCAGUAAAGUAAACCAUCUUCUAACAAUUAGCUCUUGUAAAAAGACAUUCAGCCACCCUGGACCAUUAACAUUCUUUUGUCAGAUUUCAGCUGUGAUCAGGCGCCACCGAAAGAGGAAAAACUCAAACUGAUGGUUCCAUCCACAGUAAUCAGGCAGCCCUAUCACAAGAACAACACGGCAUAUUAUGAUUCUUGCUAGAAAAGGAAAUCAGAAUUUGAUCGGCUCUUGUUAAUCUCUAACUAUGGGCAGCAUUAAGACUGGUGCAUGCACAGCUCUGAACAUAGCUAUUUCCAAGACUGAAAGGAAAUGGGAGAUGGCAAAAGGGAUGACACAAAAGUGGGGAGGUGUGCAUGUGCCUAUGAGCCUGUGAGCCUUCAUGGUCAAAGAGGGGAAGCAAAUACAGCUGUACCUUGGAACUUGAAUAUAAUUCGUUCCGGAAUACUGUUCGACUUCUGAAACGUUCGAGUUCUGAGGUGCAGCUUCCAAUUGGCCAACAGCUAGGUUUUUGCACAGUGGAAGUCACGUCGGACGUUCGUGUUCCAAGGAACGUUCAAAAACCAGAGCGCUUACUUCUGGGUUUCCGGUGUUUGGGAGCUGAGACCUUCGAGAAUGGAGCCAUUCGAGUUCUGAGGUACCACUGUAUUAAGAUCCUAGCAGGAAGGUCACACACUUUCUUUGGAGCAACAGAUGGCAAGGCCUCAGUUGGGCCUAAAAGACGGUAUGCAGAGCUGUAAAAAAGACAGUAACAGUUUAUCCUAGGUCCAUGUGUGCACAUUUGAUGAUCUUAAAGUGACCAUCCUAAAAGACCCAUGUUGUUCAACAUCUUUAUAAGUGACGUGGAUGAAGGAAUUGAAGUCUUCACUCCUAUCUCCAGACCUAUCUGGAGAUACUACAGACUGAACCUGAGAUCUUUUGAAUGCAAAGCACAUGCUGAGCCACGACCCUUGCCCCAAAGACUGUCUCAAAUGUUUAAUUCAAUCUCAUCCAAGAAUACAGAAAGUUUUACACAAAUCCAGCUACACCACUGUCUGGUCCCUAUCUUCCUCAGGUCCAGCAAAUUACACCAGGAGGGAUCCAGUGCUCCAAAUGAGCCCUCUAAACUCAUAUCUUAGUUUUUUCCACCUCUCUUUCUCCUCCCAUUGCUCAGUAAUUGCUUUCCAGGUGUGAUGCAAAGGUAGAUGCAUGGGAAAGGAUCAGAACCUUAUUUGUUCAGACCCGCUGCACUGCUUGAAGACAAUACCCAGAAAGCCUUUCCUCCUGGCUGCCUCCCUUUGGAACAAUGAAACAGCAGCUUGGUCCCAAAUCCCUCGGCUUGUCAACAGUACCUGCCUCAGAGGGAUGACCCACGUUUGCCCUGUGAUAUCAGGCUUACGACAUGCUCUUAUUUAGAAUCAGAGGAGGAGCUCUCUCCCUCUCUCUGCAUUGGCAGCAAUUAAGUUCAGCAGACUCCUUUUGUAGGAAACACUUAGCUAGGCUCAUUCAUUAUUUCUCUAAGUCACCUCUUGCCUCACACAACUGUAGUACAGUCACUCACCGACCCGUUUUCCAGCUGUACUGUAGAACAAGUGAAGGAAAGAACUUUGUUCUGGAAUGGCUCAAAGGGUCUGACCUCUCUCUAUUCUGCGUGCUCUUUUGUAUGCUGCCAAGGAAUGGAAUUUGGUGUUUCAAAACGAAAUAUUGUGAACUUAACUGUUUGGAAUGUAUCACCCUGCAAAAGGGAAAGAAACCCCAACACUCCCAAUUCAAGAGAGCACUACGCAAAAAAUGCAUUCUGGUCAGCCAGUUCCUAGUAACCAUGUGGAGGACUUAACACACAAUGAACCAGACAAGGAGCCACUGAAAAGUAUUUUCUCACAACUGUAUUCCACAUGGCAGGUGUAAUAUUUUGAAAGCCUUUUGCCCCAUCUGCAUAAGCCUAUAAUCUUUAAGGCAGCAUGACACACAUCCUCGAUGACAGACUUCACUGAUGCGGAUACAUGGCACAUAUUGCACAGCGUCUUCCCAGUGGUGGCUCUCCAUUUAGGAGCAAUUUAUUUUACUUCUUAUCUAUCUAUCACGGGAAGCCACUACAGAAAAGGCCCAUUCUCGUGUUGCCACCCUCCAAACCUCUUGUGAAGGGGACACGUGAAGAAAGGCCUCAGAUGAUGAUUGCAGAGUCCAGGUCGGUUUAUAGGGGGAGAGGCGGUCCUUGAAGUAAAACCAUUUCUGUUUUACCCAGGCAUCUGAUGGCUGAAAUAUGCCAUUUCCGGCAACCUUUAAAAGAUUAACUGUGAGAGUAUGUGAUUGUUCUUAGAUCAUUUUAAUACGUUUGUAGAUGUUUAAUAUAUAUCAAUGUUAUUUUUAACAUGUUUUUAUCUGUAUUGUUUUAUUGUUGUUGUGUUUGCUGCCCUGGGCUCCUUUGGGAGGAAGGAUGAAAUAGACAUUUGACAAAUGAAUACAAAUAAACAUCAUACUAAAACAGAUGCAAAAUGUACUAAGUUUUAAAAAGCACUGCGGUGUGGACAGUGCUGCUUCCGGGAAGAUUUUUCAGCAGCCUCCGUAUGAAAGCUAUAAUGUUCCAAUAUAGUCUCCAGAAAUCCCUGAAAUCCUGUGUGAACUUAAUCUUCUUUUGAGAGAUUGCCUUGGGCACUUGAAAAGGCCCAGCUCACAUGGCACAUCAUUUCCUUCCAUUUCCUUCACCAUCCUAAAUUGUAUCACGUUUUUGUUAAUGCUGUCUCCCCCAGCAUGCUAGAAAGCCUGCCAGGGUUCUACCUUCUGCUGUGGUUUGUUUCUGGAAUGUAAAUUGUUGAAACGUGUAUUCGCCUACUUCUUAAUCUGCCUUUCCUGCCUGAUAUUUGUCUAAUGUUGUUAAUGAGAGUCUGAUCCACACAGGAGUCAGCAGAGGUGUGACAUAACUGUGCAGCAAACUAUGAUCAAACAACUGUUUUGUCAGGUAUGUUAGCCUCUGUUCUGUCGUGCUAAAAGGGAUGCAUGAGAAUCAGCCCUUGUCCCAUUUUGAGACAAGCGAGGAGCUGGCAGACCGUCCAAGUGUUCCUACUUUCCAGGGACAGUUCCAGAUUUACAGAAACUGUCCUAAUUUCUGAUUUGAUCCCGGAAUGCCCCGCUUUCCAGUCAGAUGGGCAGGCUAAUAAUAAUAAUAAUAAUAAUAAUAAUAAUAAUGGAAUAGGACAUCCCUGUUUCCAUCAGACAAAUGUUGGAGGGUAUGCUCUGGAACUCAGAGACCAAGGAGCUAAAUCAUGGAACUAUUAUAUCAGCACUUAGUGGCUAGGAACUGUUUUUUAAAUGUCUAUAAAAGACCUAACAGUUCCUCCUUUGCCUAGAGCUGCUCAAAGCCGAGAUCCAGAGCAUGCAUAGGGCUUGCCUCUUCUGCCAUGUUGGCCUGAGAGAUGGAAGACCUCAAGCUCUGUAUCAACAGGCAUGAGCACUGCUGGUAUUCCUGUAGUCCCAGAUGGUGGGUGGGAGUGUUCAGAGAUGGGAUGGAUGUCGCAACAAGGAACAGUGGGAUCCCAGUAUUGGAGCCUCUUUCUGGGAUUGCAGCCUCUGCUCGUGAGUCAGGAGGUACUGAGUAUGCAGGUUUCCCAUAGGGUCCUGCUCUCCCUUCCUCAGUAGAGAAGGCUUCAUUGGGGCUGAGAUCUGAAUCCUGAUGGGCCCUGACAGUCUUGCCUAGCCUGCCAAUUGCUAAAUCAGCAUCUUGUCAUUCUGUGGUUCUUGCUUUUCAUUAUCUUUUCAAAUCAUUAUUCAUUAUCUCAGUAAUAGAAGGGCCAUAGCUCAGUGACAGAGCACAUGCUUUGCAUACAGAAAUCUCCAACUUUGCUUCCUGGCAUCUCUAGAGAAAAUAAAUUGGAUACCAGGUAUGGAGAUGGUUAGCGGGUAACAUAGGGGGCCUGAGCCCCUGAUCUUUUGCACCAGGGCCUGAUCUCCUGCUCCUUUUCCCAAACUGCAGUGCUGGUGAGAACCCAUCUACCCACCAUCUUAAUUUGCCCAGAGGCAUCUAUACAUAUAAAUAAGUCCAUGCUAAUUUUAUGCAAAUUUCUGCCCAUGCCUUGUGUUGGACACAUUUAGUAAAGCAGAUCCACACAGAACAAGCAAAUUGUGUCACAUGUCACAGGAGUGUGUGUGGAGAGAGAGAGAGCGAGAGAAAGAAAGAGAGAGAACAAACACAACACAUACACACAGCAUCAGCAUCAGCCUGAAAAGAUACACCACUCUAACAGGGACAGAAGGGAGAUUCCUUUCUCAAGCCAAACAUAGUGACCAAUAGAUAGAGCCAGGAACCUCAUUUCAUUUUCUUAGCCUCCUCCUGUUUUCUUAGCAUGCGUCAGCAAAAGCCUACCUUACACAAUAUACUGUCUCCAAUAAAUUAACUUUUCAGAGGUGGGAGAAUUCUUUUCCACAGCUGAACCUCCGGCUUGAUUAACUGUAUCUCCCUCCCUUUAUUUCUCAAGAGGUAAAGUUAAGCAUUUCUGAGCCAAAAUAUCCUGUUCCUUCCACCCACUUCACUUAAGGAAACAAAAAAACAAAAACAGAAAAACCAUCAAACACAGAGCCACACAGCAUUUAGCCAAGAUCAGAGUGAACAGAUUAAAAAAAAUGGUAGCCAUAAAAGCACCAGCUGUGCCAUGCAGUGCCAGAGAUUAGAAAAAGCCACCAUUUUCCUUAACAAAGCCAAGGCUCAAACAAAAAGAAGUGCAACUUGUUCAUGGUAAGUCUCAUUCUCUCUAGUCCUUCUAAGCAACCAGGGCUGUGAACCCACUCCCACUUAUUCCACAUCCAGGGUGCUCCCACAGCUGGUUUGGGAAGCAGUGUACACAUGGCAUUAGCCACAAUCCAUAUCUUCAAUAUAUAUAUUCUGUCAUUUCUUAGGAAACCCUGUUUCUAUGUGUUUUUCAAAAGACAAGAUCCAGUCCACAUUGAGAAAAAGAAUGACCUUGCUGGUAAUGUGUACACAGCCCAAGUCACAUAACUCUCACCACUUCUGUGUGUACAAUCUGAGCAAUCCUUUGAUAUAAUCUAUCAGGAGCAGAUCAGUCAGUCUCCUUGUUAUUUAACACCUCAGCCACCCAUUGUUCUGGCUCCCAAAUGGCGUGAAGAGUGCUUUAUUUGUUAUAAGCAACUCAGUCCAUUGGCUGAGCCAAGCAGCCUGUCAGCCAGGGCCACCUGGGUGCAGACCCAUAAAGAUGAAAUAUUAUGCCCAUAUUCCUUUGUUUAUCCAAGGAUGCUGUUUGCUAAAUCUCCAGCAGAGGAUCCAAUCUGUGCAGUUGGGACUACAACCAAUAGUCUUUAUAGGUUAGCCAGUUCUUUAAUGUCUCAUUUAUUUUAAAGUAUUGUCCCGCUCUUCUCUCCUCUCCUAGUCUUAUUCUUAAUAAAAUCUAUCUGUAAUUUGGCUUUGAGGCUGAGACUGUAUUGGUAACAAGAAAAUGUGUGCCUCAGCUCACUGGCUCCAUGUGGACUUGUGCCUAAGGAGAAGCACAAGGAACGCAAUUUUCCCUGGUCCUGUGGAGGCAGGAGUGUGUUAAUAGCAGGCCACCUCACCCAGGUAGAGAACUGGCUCAUAGCUCUGGCCUCCUUUCCUGGCCAAAAUCAGUGGAAGAAGGAAGGUGGUGUGGAAGACUAAUGAACAAUGUUGGCAUGACUGGUCUCCCUCCCAGGGCAUUUGUGGUGAGAUGGGCACUACAACUGGCAUAUCCAGAACAAAACAGAACCCCUUAUAUUCCCACAGACUCUGGUGUCACUGCCUCCGAGACCUAAAGCUGUGCAAAGUAAACAUAUGGCUCCAUUUCUUACCCUCUCAUACUUGAUCUCAGCCAAAAGGCCUUCUGCUUGUUAGGCUGCUCCCAGACCUGAGGCAAGGAUGAGCUGGUUGGCAUCCGUCUGUCUCAGCAGACAAUGGAGGACUGUGAGUAAGAUUCACCUCCAGCCAAAGAGGGCCCAUGGCACAACACAAGGAUAAGUACCUCCAACUCAAAUAAUCAGUCUUUUUUUUCAUUUGGCUGGAUUGCAAGUUUACCCCACGCAAGAGGGCAAACCAAUCUCAAGCUGCUUUGAGUACGAUCAAAAUACAAGUGAGGCUACUCACUUUGGGUUGUGCUUCCCCACUAAGAGGCACUAGUAUAUGGUUACAAAUUUGAGGGGUGUUUGCUUGAUGUUUCCCACACUGUGUACCAUCUCCCCAAAUUGCCUAUGUGUUCACCAAGACAGAUUUGAGAGGCAUAAAAUUGAAAGGGCUCACAGGCAAAGCUACUCAAACACACACAUGGAAACAGCGAUCCACAUAUCCAUUAGUGCCCUGGGGUGGACGCAGCCAUAGUAAAUGUCAUCAUGAAAUAGGAAAUCUAUGUGGUGCCAUCUUUUCAGGCUGAAUGAAUUCCCUUAAUGUUUAAGGUGCAUUCCUGCUGCUCUCUCCUAGGCCUGCCUGUCCCUGACAUGUGAUUGGAGCUUGACACAAAAAGAGAUUGUACUCAGUCAGCAAAGAACCGAAAUGCAAUACUAAUGCCGUUUCCGUAAGCUGCUCAAAGCAAAGGGAGCUCUUUCGCCAUCUCAGAGGUGGCUGCAUUUCAGUGAUUAGUAGAUAAAUGUGGGCUUAUAAAUCACAGUGAAAACAAGGCCAAGAAGAGUCUUGAAUACGGGAGAGCACUUCUGAAUCGACAAGCCUUUGGACAAUAGGAUCUCUGAGUCAAUUGCCUUGGAAGCUUCUCUUGCUGUUCCCCCUGGAUUCAGCAUUCUGGCUCCGUCUCUGGGUCAAACUCCACUGUGCAAAACUGCCUGACACAGCUUUGCUCACACCAGCCACGUGGGUAUUUUGGUCCAUUUCCUCCUGCACUGCAGCAGGCUUCUGUUUGGCUCAGAUGCUCCUGGCCUCAUUAGAGGUCUGGAUGGUAAUUGGGAACAGCCUGUUUUGCUGUCCAAGACCUUCCACACUGCAAAAGCCCUGGGGGAGGCAGGGAAUGUGUUUCCCUCUGAUGUAGCCCACACCUCUGCACUUCCACUCCUCAGUAAGGUGUGUGUUUUGCUUCAGUCGCCAAAGCGUUCCACAUCCUGCAGCGUUGGGGGAGCUUUCGCCUGCUUCCCAACCAAGCUUAUUAAUUUAAUGAGGAGGAAGGCUCCCUCUUAGCAAUUACUGCGGCAGCAAACUCCCCCUGCAACCUUAGCCUAGCUAGAGAGAUUUUGAAGUGACCCGGUGACCACAUGAUCUGCUUGAGGCAAAAGAAAAUACGUACGUUCGAAACAUCAGCUGCCUUGGCAGGGCAGGUGCCGUGUUUGAAACAAAAACGGCCCUAUGCUGGGUAAGCAAGUGUUCAAGGAAUAAGUUUUGCAAGCAGAUCAGCAGUAUAAUUUCAGUGGUGGACUGGAUUCUGGGUGCAGGGAGCAGGCAGGUAUCACAAUUUUGCACACAGCAGUUUUUACCCUUGCUCCAUGAUGGCAAGGCAAUUGCUACAGAAGAAGUGCUCUAAUGAGAGACCCAGCAGCACAGCCUAUCCAACAGCAAAUAAAACAGGAGCCUACGCCACCUAGCACCUCAGUGAAAUCUGCUAGUGAUCCUUACUUACAUGCCA